rnacentral:lncRNA from 1 species
CAUCUGGCCAGGUAAGUUUCUUAAGCUGGACAUUUGUGCCCACGGAGACAUCAUCGGCUUUAUUUCAACUGUUCCGGUUUCACUUCCCUUAAUUGGGUCCUUUUCCAGGCCGCUGAGAGCAGCAUGGCUGGAGAAUUCCCGGUGCAGCGGGGGUUAUAUAAUCUGACUCUGAAAACUGGGCCUCGACCCAGAGAGGUCAACUUGGUCUUUAUUUAAUUAGUCUUUUAGGCAUUUAAACACACUCGCAUAUUUGAAAGAAAAAGUGCAUGACAAAGGAUACAUAGAGUCGGUUUGAGCAUUUGCAUCAUCAAAAUUCAAUCUGAUUCUUCCUCUCUCCCUUUUGUUCUAGUGGAAACAUGUUUUCCUCCUGAGCACUCUUUUGGGGUAAGCAAUCGGACGGGGUGGAAGUUGGUGCCUAGCGGGGUCAGCAAGUUUUUCCUUCCAGAGAGGCUGUGAACUGCGGCAGCCGGUGGCCCUGCGCCCAGAGGGAGCAAACCCACUGGCUGCUUUUCUUCUGUUCCUGCGCAGACCACCUCACUCAUCUGUCAGCCUGCUGGCCUCUGUACCCCUUUGACUUUUCUCCCAAGAUGCGGUCCAAUCAGAUACACCUUUGACUUUUCUCCCAAGAUGUUGUCCAAUCAGGUACGCCUUUGACUUUUCUACCUAGAUGUUGUCCAAUCAGGUACGCCUUUGACUUUUCUACCUAGAUGCUGUCCAAUCAGGUACGCCUUUGACUUUUAUCCCUGGAUGUGGUCCAAUCGGCUCAUUGUACAAGUGAGGAAAGGAAGGCCACGAGGCAAGAGCAUCUUGUAUUAGUGGAAUAUACAGCAGAGUAUUCAGCGGGGGGGUGGUUGGAGGAGAGGGCCAUAAUGCAAAAGACUUCAAGGUAAAGAGAAAUUAAUCCACAGCUCCAGAACAUCUCAAGAGUAGAGCUCUGCCAGGAAGCAGAUUUGAGGGUUCAGACAGGACCCUGGAUUUCCCGUAGAAGUCCUUGCUGGAGAUGCUAGAUUCAGAAAGAGAGAGAAAGAACACAGUGCCUCUGGGCUGAGCCUGAGAUGGGGAAAAGGAGG